rnacentral:rRNA from 1 species
AUAAUUAUUAUUAAUUUUUAAAAAAAUAAUUUGUAUUUUUAAUAAUUACUAUGAAAAAAAUUUAAUUAUUAUAGUUAAAUAGUAUUGUGAAAGAAUUAAUUUAGAUAAUAAAAAGUAGAUUUAUUUGAUUGUACCUUGUGUAUCAGGGUUUAUUUAAUUUGUAUUAUAUAUUUAAUGAUCUCGAUUUUAUAAGAGUUAAUAAAAUAUAUUUUUUAUUGUGAAAUAAAUAUUAAGAAUAUUUUAUUAGUAAUGAAAUGUUAUUCGUUUAUAAAUAUAUCUAGUUUUUAAAGAAAAAAAUUAAAUUUUAUAUUUAUUAAUAAUUAAUUAAAUUUUAAAUUAAUUAUUAUUUAAGUAAUUAUAUUUUUUAGGAUAAGCUAAAAAAUAAAAAUUUAUAAAUUAAUUGUAUUUAAAUAAUUUAUAGAAUUAGAAUUAUUUAUUUUUAAUAUGUUAUAAUUAAUUAUUUAGAUUUAUAAUUUUUAUUUAAUUUUAAUUUUUUUAUUUAAAUAAUUUAUUUAAUUAUAUAAUAAUUGUAAUAAUGAUAAAAUUAGUAUAAAGUAUUAUAUGAAAUAUUUGAAUUAUAAAGUUUAAAUAAAGGAAUUCGGCAAAUUAAUUUCUCGCCUGUUUAAUAAAAACAUGUCUUUUCGAAAAUAAUUUAAAGUCUAAUCUGCCCACUGAUUUUUAAAUGGCCGCAGUAUUUUGACUGUGCAAAGGUAGCAUAAUAAUUAGUUUUUUAAUUAAAAGCUAGAAUGAAUGAUUGGACGAGGGAAUAACUGUCUCUGUUUAAUUUUAUUAGAAUUUAAUUUUUAAGUUAAAAAGCUUAAAUAAUAUUAAAAGACGAGAAGACCCUAUAGAGUUUUAUAUUUAAAUAUUAUAAUAAAAUUAGUAUUUAAGAUAUUAUAUUUAUUUAUAUAUUUUAUUGGGGUGAUAGAAAAAUUUAUUAAACUUUUUUUUUAUAAAAACAUAGAUUAAUGAAUAAUUGAUCCAUAGAAAUGAUUAUAAGAUUAAAUUACCUUAGGGAUAACAGCGUAAUUUUUUUUGAGAGUUCUAAUCGAAAAAAAAGUUUGCGACCUCGAUGUUGGAUUAAAAUUAAUUUUUGGUGUAGAAGCUAGGAAUAUUGGGUCUGUUCGACCUUUAAAAUUUUACAUGAUCUGAGUUUAAACCGGCGUGAGCCAGGUUGGUUUCUAUCUUUAAUAAAAGUUUAUAUUUUAGUACGAAAGGACCAAAUAUA